rnacentral:lncRNA from 1 species
AUGGUGGGACAGCUACCAGUGCGUAUGGUGGAUUGUGGCACUGAGUAUACAAAACUGGGACAUGUUGCAAAUACAGAACAAUAGUUUAUUAUCCCUUGAUGUAUUGCUUUCAAGAAUUCAGCAAAAGUGGGCAAUUAGGCUCAAAAGAGGGUGAUAAAGAAAGCCAAUGUCAUAGACUUCUUCAUUGGGGAUGAUGUAACAGGAAAAGCCACAUAUACCAUGAAGUGGUGAACCCACCAUGGUUUAGUUGAAGACUGUUGACAGAAAGGUUUGGAGCAAGUAAUCUUUAAAUACUUAAAGCAGAACAUGUGGGUCAUUACUUUCUUUUCACCAAACGUCCACUGAAUGCUCCAGAAAACAGAAUAUGCUACCGAAAUAGUGUUUGAGUUCUUCAAUAUUCCAGGCUCAUACAUAGCCAUACAGGCUGUUCUUGCAUUAGCAGCAUCCUGAGCAUCAAAACAAAUAAGAAAACAGGCAUUGACUGGUAUGGGAAGAGAUAGUAAAGAUGGUGGCACUCCUGUCCCACCUCCAACUGAAGGAUAUGGGGUUGGCAACUGCCAUCCCACCUCCAGCUGAAGGAUAUGGGGUUGGCAACUGCCAUAAGCACAUUCCAAUCAUAGGGCAAGCAUCACAUAUUUCAUUCAGCAACUGUUCAGAGGCUGAGAAGUAGAAAUUCCUUCAGAGCAAUCCCUAGAAACAGCUACUGCAGUAAAGGAGUGCUACAGUUAUGUCUGCCCAGAUUUAGUAAAAGAAUUUAACAAGUAUGACACAGAUGGGCCAAGUGGAUUAAACAGUAUAAUGGAAUCAGGGCAAUCUCAAAGAAAGAAUUUUCCAUUGACAUUAGUUAUGAGAGAUCUUUGUGACUUGAAAUCUUUUUUCACCCAGAAUUUGCU